rnacentral:rRNA from 1 species
AGGCAGCAGUGGGGAAUAUUGCACAAUGGGGGAAACCCUGAUGCAGCCAUGCCGCGUGUGUGAAGAAGGCCUUCGGGUUGUAAAGCACUUUCAGCGAGGAGGAAAGGUCAGUAGCUAAUACCUGCUGGCUGUGACGUUACUCGCAGAAGAAGCACCGGCUAACUCCGUGCCAGCAGCCGCGGUAAUACGGAGGGUGCAAGCGUUAAUCGGAAUUACUGGGCGUAAAGCGCACGCAGGCGGUUGGAUAA